UCUCUCUGUCUUUCAAAAAUGAAUAAACAUAAAAAAAAUUAAAUCUAUAAUCUUCUAAUGUAGAAGGCAAUCUGGUUAUCUAAUGAAUAUUAAUGAAAUUCAUUUCUUUAUAUUCUUUAUAAAACUGUGUAUGUUGGGAUGAGUUCUUAAACAUCUACUUACAUUCUAGGUUAAAUCUUGCCACAUAAAGAACUGCCUCCUUUCGUGAACAAAUGUGCCAAAUCAGCUUGGUUCUGCUUGAUGGUUCUCACACCUUUAGUGUUCUUAAGACAACAUUUUUAUGUUGCCAGAUGUAACCCAGAUGUCAAAAUAUGGUUCCCAGGUGAAUGAACACUUAUCUGUUUCAUUUGGCAUCACUCUCUAUUUCUGAGCCAUGACUUCUGAAUGAAUGUGUGUCUUUUGAAGACUUGGUUGCAACUGGCUGAAAAGCAAUGAGAUAGUGUCAAGGUCCAACAUAAACCUCCGGGGCUAUCCCUGUUGACAGCAACAGAAAAUCCACCACUGAUCUUACUACUCUGAAGAGGGCAACUGCACGUGCAGCCAUGAAUAGAAGAGGGUGGAAACAUCCGGGGCGGAGUAUUGGCUGCUGAUGUGGAUCUUUCGUGUCUACUCCGCCUUCCACGCACUGCCUCCAGAUAGUAUGAUUUGGCAACAAGAAAAGCAACAGUUUAAUGGAAGCAAUGAAAACUCUGUCUCCUACAUUAUUUUUAUUCCCUUUCCCCACAAAUGAGGAAACUGGCAGUUUUGCUGACAGUUGAAUAAUGCACUUCAUUUUGCUACUGUUUUCAAUGACUUUCUCAGUUUCUUGUUUAAUAAAUCAAUGCCAAAAGAAAACUUGGAGGUAAACAGAUUUUAAUUGAAUCUUUGUGAUGUUUAAUAUCUGGGAAUUUGGAAAAUGUCGAAUUAUGAAUAAUUUGGGAGGAGCUUAUUUUGUUUGAAUAUCUGGCAUUGAGUAUUAUAACAGCUUUCUGAUGGGAAGACAAACAUUUAAGGAGCUCUCU